AUUGAACGCUGGCGGCAUGCCUUACACAUGCAAGUCGAACGGCAGCGCGGGGCAACCUGGCGGCGAGUGGCGAACGGGUGAGUAAUAUAUCGGAACGUGCCCUGGAGUGGGGAGUAACUAGUCGAAGACUAGCUAUACCGCAUACGAUCUAAGGAUGAAAGUAGGGGAUCGCAAGACCUCAUGCUCGUGGAGCGGCCGAUAUCUGAUUAGCUAGNGGUAGGGUAAAGCCUACCAGCGACGAUCAGUAGCUGGUCUGAGAGGACGACCAGCCACACUGGGACUGAGACACGGCCCAGACUCCUACCGGAGGCAGCAGUGGGGAAUUUUGGACAAUGGGCGCAAGCCUGAUCCAGCAAUGCCGCGUGAGUGAAGAAGGCCUCGG
rnacentral:rRNA from 1 species